AACGAACGCUGGCGGCAUGCCUAAUACACGCAAGUCGAACGAGUGCCUUUGGGUGCUAGUGGCGCACGGGUGCGUAACGCGUGGGAAUCUGCCCUUGGGUUCGGAAUAACUUCGGGAAACUGAAGCUAAUACCGGAUGAUGUCGAUAAGACCAAAGAUUUAUCGCCCAGGGAUGAGCCCGCGUAGGAUUAGCUAGUUGGUGGGGUAAAGGCCUACCAAGGCGACGAUCCUUAGCUGGUCUGAGAGGAUGAUCAGCCACACUGGGACUGAGACACGGCCCAGACUCCUACGGGAGGCAGCAGUAGGGAAUAUUGGACAAUGGGCGAAAGCCUGAUCCAGCAAUGCCGCGUGAGUGAUGAAGGCCUUAGGGUUGUAAAGCUCUUUUACCCGGGAUGAUAAUGACAGUACCGGGAGAAUAAGCUCCGGCUAACUCCGUGCCAGCAGCCGCAGUAA
rnacentral:rRNA from 1 species